GCAUGCCUUACACAUGCAAGUCGAACGGCAGCACGGGUGCUUGCACCUGGUGGCGAGUGGCGAACGGGUGAGUAAUACAUCGGAACGUACCUUGUAGUGGGGGAUAGCUCGGCGAAAGCCGGAUUAAUACCGCAUACGCUCUGAGGAGGAAAGCGGGGGACCUUCGGGCCUCGCGCUACAAGAGCGGCCGAUGUCAGAUUAGCUAGUUGGUGAGGUAAAAGCUCACCAAGGCGACGAUCUGUAGCUGGUCUGAGAGGACGACCAGCCACACUGGGACUGAGACACGGCCCAGACUCCUACGGGAGGCAGCAGUGGGGAAUUUUGGACAAUGGGCGAAAGCCUGAUCCAGCAAUGCCGCGUGUGUGAAGAAGGCCUUCGGGUUGUAAAGCACUUUUGUCCGGAAAGAAAUCCUCUGGGUUAAUACCUCGGGGGGAUGACGGUACCGGAAGAAUAAGCACCGGCUAACUACGUGCCAGCAGCCGCGGUAAUACGUAGGGUGCAAGCGUUAAUCGGAAUUACUGGGCGUAAAGCGUGCGCAGGCGGUUUUGUAAGACGGAUGUGAAAUCCCCGGGCUUAACCUGGGAACUGCAUUCGUGACUGCAAGGCUAGAGUAUGGCAGAGGGGGGUAGAAUUCCACGUGUAGCAGUGAAAUGCGUAGAGAUGUGGAGGAAUACCGAUGGCGAAGGCAG
rnacentral:rRNA from 1 species